GCCUGAGUGGCUCAGUCGAUUAAGUGUCUGACUUCGGCUCAGGUCAUGAUGUCACGGUUCGUAGGUUCAAGCCCACAUCAGGCU
rnacentral:tRNA from 1 species